UUUUUAGGAUGGUCCUUAUGUGCCACCUGGCAGCGUGUGAUGGGGGCCGCGGGUCCAAACUCAAGAAAGCUCUCGACAACCAGUUCCCCGAAGAAAAACGCUACUUCGGCUUCGAGAAUUUCGGCAACACUUGCUACUGCAACACCCUUUUGCAGGCUCUUUAUUUUUGUGUUCCCUUUCGUGAACAAUUGCUCGAGUACUAUACGAGUAGUACAAUAGCCUAAAUCGGAUGAAGAGAUAUGUUGCUUUAAAUCUGUUGGCUGCAAUAUUUAACAAUGCUAUUGUGAGUUUGUCUGCGGAAGAAGUAAAGCGCACAUUAGAAGCAGUUGCAUCUACCGGAAAGUUCUGGCAUGAUUAGGAGAAACUAAAGGGAUCGCUAUAUUGGUGGUUGAAGAAGGUAUGUUCAGGUUUUAUCAGAAUAUCCUGAGGCAAAGAUGACGGACGAAAAGCCCUAGGAGAAACAUAUUCAGAGCUGAUUUGUCAAUUGGAUGAAGGUCUAUAUCAAAAUUUUUUAACUAAGAAACAAUAUAAAGUAUCUACCAAUAAUCUCUACUUUUGCUAUUGUAUCUUAACAUUUUUUUUUAAUCUUCAUAUAUUAAUAAAAUAUGCUAAGAUACUAAAUUUUGGUUCUAGCAAUAAUGAUGCUCUUAGAGCAUCAUUA